AACUGGACAGAGGCCGGAGAGUCCUUUCCCAGCGGAGCCUCCCCGCCCCGCCCCAUCCCGGGCUCGCGAGCGCCGCUGCCACGUCCGCGGGCGGGAGGCCUGCGAUCGGGACCCGCUGGCGCCACGCCGCCGCCGUCCCCGGGCGGGGCAGCCGGUGCGGCUGCGAGGAGGCGGCGGAGGGGGCCCGGGGGGCCCGGGGAGCCCGGGGAGCCGGCGCCCGCACAGGCGCUCCCGCAGCCCCGAGCGCGCAGAGCCGCAGCGCCGCCUCGCUGCACCGUGGCCCGCAGGCGCCGCGCGGACCGCUCCCCCCGGCGCUCCCGGCACCGGCGCCCCCACCCGCCGGCCCCCGCGCACAGCCCGCCGCACACGCACCCGAGAAGGCCGCCAUCUUCGCGCGUCCUCCGCGGCCCGGCCCGCGCUCCCUCCCUCCGCACCGCCACGCUGCGCCGCGCGCUUCCGGCCCGGCCUGCGGCUUUGCAGUUCCGGGCGGGGACCCAGCCCCCGGACCAGGGUUCCGGCGGAGGAAAGGAGCCCCGACUCCUCCCCCUGAGUCCCCCUCCCCCCUUACGCCCGAGCGCGGACCGGUUCCGGGGUCCUUGGCCGGAGCGGUCAUCAGGAGACCGAGCUGGUAAUGACCGUGUGCUCGGAGCGUGCUCGUGUCCCCAGGGCCGCAUUUCCACGCACAAGGGGGCAGAAGAGGGUCGCUUUGCGGGAGUGAAUGGCCUCCCCAGAAGAAAGAGAGGAGAAAUACAUGCACGUUUGACCAGCCCCAACAUCUAUGCCAGGUAGUAUCUUGAUGAGGAUACUGCGAUUCAGCAAAGUUGCCUGACUUAGCGAAGGCCGCACAGCUGCUGAGGGAGCCACAUCUGCCUGCCUGCCUGCAGGUCCCUGCGUGUGACCGACCGGUCACCUGCUGCAGAAGGCACGGAGACGGGUUCUACCCUCGGGCACCAGGCAUCGGAUGGAGCCGUCUUCUGGGUUUGCAUUCCAGCUCUGCCAUUCGCUGGCUGAGUAACCUUAGUGCCUGGGCUUCAGCUGACUCAUCUGUAAAACAGUCUUGAGAAGUAGUACCGAUCUGGUAGGAUUGUUAUGUGGAUGGAAUAAAGUAGGCAAAGCCCCUAAAAGAGUGCAUAGCAGCACAUGCCAACAAUAGGGCCAGCUGGGCCUUGGAGAGUGGACCUGCAGCUCUCUGCACACAGAAUGUGCCCAAGAGAGCUGCCUAGAGAAGCUCCAUGAUGCAUCACACAGACAGCCCCCCCCCAAGAACCCAGCUGUGUGCAUCUUAUAACUGGAGGACAGGCAUCUAUCACCUGCCUCGUGUAAGUGGCCCUUGGAGAAGACCAGCAGAAGAAUCUCCAAGAUAAUCUCAAAAAGUACCCACAGAGUGGAAGAAUCAGCCUUGAGUGCGAUGGAGCCAGAGAGCACAGCAGCGCAUCACCAUGGCACCAAGUGAAGAAACCGAAAAUGAUGAGGACUUCAACGGGAAACAGUUUGCGGCAUGAAAUUCCACCGAGGAGCGAACAUCAUUAAAGUGGAGAGACAUUUCAUAAUUCCACCGCCAAUGGUCCGUAAUCCUUGGUGUUUAAUUUAGCUUUGCCAGAGAGGUCGGGUCCUAAUGUUUUAAUAGCUUCUACAUGUUCAGUUAGUACUUGGCCUUAUCAAAACACAUUAUUAAUUCCUCAUCGGCUUCACUGAGUCCUUGUUCUGUUGGUUAAUGUUUCCCCUGUCGUUUUUUAUUAGAGGAAGCUCAAGGAUAAAGUGAAGGACUUGGCCAUAAUUUCAUUACCACCGGAGAAAAAAAUCAGAGCUCACGAAUGAUCCACUUAUGGGGAGAACAUUUUCUUGAAUCUCGAUUAUUUUGCUGGAGGAAAUAAAUGAUUUUUUAAAGCUGCAGUCUCUCUUUUUUAAGCCAAAAGGGUUAAUCUGGAAUAGCCUCAACAUAACCAUGAAUAAUUCAUGCAGUCAAUACAAUUGUAGUACUCAGGGCCUACCUGCAACCUGGCUUUAAAAAGCCAUUGUCCCUGUCUGCAAAGAAUUACAGUAUUUUGGUUUUGUAGCUGCCUAUGGGAUUUUUGAAGGAUCAGUGUUAUCUGAGACUCCCCAGGCGACCCCAGACUGUGGACAUGAAUGGUAGUCAUCGCUGUAACGGGAAACACUGUCAUGUCACUGGUCCUGCUCCAGGUGGUGACACGGGAGCCUCAGUCUUUUGUAAACUCCCCUACCAGACCCUGCUGGGGAGCCCGGAGGCGUCUUGUGCGUGUUGGCAAACACGUGCAUUCCUCCUGGGCGCUGCCAGUCCGCCCCUUUGGAGCCGCUGUGGUGCCUCGUGGACCUGCCGGUGUGGCCUGCGCACCUGGGA